rnacentral:rRNA from 1 species
AAACCAACAGGGAUUGCCUUAGUAACUGCGAGUGAAGCGGCAAAAGCUCAAAUUUGAAAUCUGUCACUUUUAGUGUCCGAAUUGUAAUUUGUUGAAGUAUCUUUGGUCUUGGUCCUUACAUAUGUUCCUUGGAAUAGGAUAUCAUAGAGGGUGAGAAUCCCGUACAUGGUAAGGAUACCUCGGCUAUGUAAAGUGCUUUCUAAGAGUCGAGUUGUUUGGGAAUGCAGCUCUAAGUGGGUGGUAAAUUCCAUCUAAAGCUAAAUAUUGGCGAGAGACCGAUAGCGAACAAGUACAGUGAUGGAAAGAUGAAAAGAAGACCGAAAGGUCAGUGAAAAAGGACGUGAAAUUGUUGAAAGGGAAGCGUUUGGGAUCAGUCUUGGAAUUUAGUGAUCAGUCUUCCUUUUGGUUGGUGCACUCACUAUUUUCUAGGCCAACAUCAGUUUUCGCGGUAGGAUAAUGAUCUUGGAAUGUGGCUUUUUCGGAAGUGUUAUAGCCUUGAUUGAUGCUACCUGCUUAGACUGAGGUCUGCGCAUCUGCUAGGAUGUUGGCAUAAUGAUCUUAAGCGGC